UGGCGGCGUGCCUAACACAUGCAAGUCGAACGAGAAAGUGGAGCAAUCCAUGAGUAAAGUGGCGACCGGGUGAGUAACACGUGACUAACCUACCCUCGAGUGGGGAAUAACUCCGGGAAACCGGGGCUAAUACCGCAUAACAUCGCAAGAUCAAAGCAGCAAUGCGCUUGAGGAGGGGGUCGCGGCUGAUUAUCUAGUUGGCGGGGUAACGGCCCACCAAGGCGAAAAUCGGUAUCCGGCCUGAGAGGGCGCACGGACACACUGGAACUGAAACACGGUCCAGACUCCUACGGGAGGCAGCAGUGGGGAAUUUUGCGCAAUGGGGGAAACCCUGACGCAGCAACGCCGCGUGGAGGAUGAAGCCCUUCGGGGCGUAAACUCCUUUCGACUCGGACGAUAAUGACGGUACGAGUGGAAGAAGCACCGGCUAACUCUGUGCCAGCAGCCGCGGUAAUACAGAGGGUGCGAGCGUUGUUCGGAAUUAUUGGGCGUAAAGGGCGCGUAGGCGGUGUGGUAAGUCACCUGUGAAAUCUCCUGGCUUAACUGGGA
rnacentral:rRNA from 1 species